rnacentral:rRNA from 1 species
GACGAACGCUGGCGGCGUGCUUAACACAUGCGAGUCGAACGGAAAGGCCCUGCUUGCAGGGUGCUCGAGUGGCGAACGGGUGAGUAACACGUGGGUGAUCUGCCCCUUACUUUGGGAUAAGCCUGGGAAACUGGGUCUAAUACUGGAUAGGACCAUGCUGUAGGUGGUGUGGUGGAAAGAUUAGUUUCGGUAAGGGAUGAGCUCGCGGCCUAUCAGCUUGUUGGUGGGGUAAUGGCCUACCAAGGCGUCGACGGGUAGCCGGCCUGAGAGGGUGGACGGCCACAUUGGGACUGAGAUACGGCCCAGACUCCUACGGGAGGCAGCAGUGGGGAAUAUUGCACAAUGGGCGCAAGCCUGAUGCAGCGACGCCGCGUGGGGGAUGACGGCCUUCGGAUUGUAAACUCCUUUCAGCCAUGACGAAGCCCUUGUGGUGACGGUAGUGGUAGAAGAAGCACCGGCUAACUACGUG